GUGCACCCCACCCCGGACUUCGGGCUGCAGGCAGCUAUCCGCAAGCCUUUGGAGCCCGUGGGAGUUCCCGCCGGGCUCCGCAGGCUUGCGGAUAGCUUCCUGAAGCCUGGAGAGCUAGAGGGGUCGGUGUGCAC
rnacentral:miRNA from 1 species